GAAAUGCGAUAAGUAAUGUGAAUUGCAGAAUUCAGUGAAUCAUCGAAUCUUUGAACGCACCUUGCGCUCUUUGGUAUUCCGAAGAGCAUGCCUGUUUGAGUGUCAUGAAUCUCUCAACUCCUAAAGUUUGUAAUGAACGAUAGGGGCUUGGACUUGGAGGCUUGCCGGCGUCAUUGUCGGCUCCUCUUAAAUGCAUUAGCUAUGGAUCACAAUGUGUACGAUCUACGGUGUGAUAUAUGUCUACGCCUAUGGAUCUAUACGAGAGUUACCGCCUGCAAGGGUCAUGGUCUUCGGAUCUGUGUGACGACGUGAAUACAAAGCUUCUAAUCGUCCUUUCUUGGGACAAACUUAUAUCUGACAUCUGACCUCAAAUCAGGUAGGACUACCCGCUGAACUUAA
rnacentral:misc_RNA from 1 species